rnacentral:rRNA from 1 species
UACAGAGGUGGCAAGCGUUGUUCGGAAUUACUGGGCGUAAAGGGCGCGUAGGCGGUUUUGUAAGUCCCGUGUGAAAGCCCCCGGCUCAACCGGGGAACGGCACGGGAAACUGCGAGGCUUGAGUUCGGGAGAGGGAAGCGGAAUUCCGGGUGUAGCGGUGAAAUGCGUAGAUAUCCGGAGGAACACCAGUGGCGAAGGCGGCUUCCUGGACCGAUACUGACGCUGAGGCGCGAAAGCUAGGGGAGCAAACGGG